rnacentral:rRNA from 1 species
GAUGAACGCUAGCGACAGGCUUAACACAUGCAAGUCGAGGGGCAGCACGGUGUAGCAAUACACUGGUGGCGACCGGCGCACGGGUGAGUAACACGUGUGCAACCAACCCCGUACCGGGAGAUAACCCGCGGAAACGUGGACUAACAUCCCAUGAUACUCGAGAGCCGCAUGGCUCUAGAUUUAAAAUUCCGGUGGUACGGGACGGGCACGCGCGACAUUAGGUAGUUGGCGGGGUAAGGGCCCACCAAGCCGACGAUGUCUAGGGGUUCUGAGAGGAAGGUCCCCCACACUGGAACUGAGACACGGUCCAGACUCCUACGGGAGGCAGCAGUGAGGAAUAUUGGUCAAUGGGCGAGAGCCUGAACCAGCCAAGUCGCGUGAGGGACGAAUGGUCUAUGGCCUGUAAACCUCUUUUGUCAAGGAAGAAUAAAUCGCACGGGUGCGAUCUUGCCAGUACUUGACGAAUAAGCAUCGGCUAACUCCGUGCCAGCAGCCGCGGUAAUACGGGGGAUGCGAGCGUUAUCCGGAUUUAUUGGGUUUAAAGGGCGCGUAGGCGGGACGUCAAGUCAGCGGUAAAAGACUGCAGCUAAACUGUAGCACGCCGUUGAAACUGGCGCCCUCGAGACGAGACGAGGGAGGCGGAACAAGUGAAGUAGCGGUGAAAUGCAUAGAUAUCACUUGGAACCCCGAUAGCGAAGGCAGCUUCCCAGGCUCGAUCUGACGCUGAUGCGCGAGAGCGUGGGUAGCGAACAGG